CGACCAGCAGAAACCCAUUAUCAUCCGUGCUUUCAUCACUGCCGAACCCUGAGCUCUUCCACUGCGCCAGGCAUUACGCCAAAUACCUUUGCAAAGAGGAGCUAAGAACAGUCAGGUGCAAUCAUUGUAUCAUUAUUUCACUUUGGGCAUGACAAAACUCAGGUUUAAGUAAGUUCAAUCAUCUACAGAAGACAACACAGCUAGUAAGUGGCAGGGCCAAGUCCCAGACCCAAGUUUUUCACCAUCGCAUCACACUUCCAAGUCUGGGCUGAAAACAAGGGAUGCGGCAUCUACGUCUGAGAACGUUCCUCUCAAAGUAAUUCAGAGAAUUUGAUUUGAAGCAUGAAGGACGACCAACCUUUGGUAGCCUGUUAACAACCCGUGCAUAGGCUAUCCAGGCAGGGGGCCCCACAAAGCAGAGAGCUGGCAUAGGACAUUCCCCGCCAUCUUGGUCACCCCGUCCAGCACAAGCUGGCAGCGAUCCAGACCAAGAGCUACCGUGUGGAACUUUCCCCUUGAAGACAUAGACAUGCCACCCCUCCCCUCCCACGUGCCUACAAAGAGGUAAAACAGACACUACAUAUCCAGAAUCCUUGCUUAAAGCAUUUGGCCUCAAAGAACUCAGAACAUUAGAAAGUUUUCUACUGUAUUAGUUAGCUGUGGAUACAAUACUGCUAUGUAACAAAGGGAUCAACACAAAACUCAGUGAUAUGACAAAACGCAUCUAUUACCACAUUUACAGACCGGGGGGUGAGCUAUUUGUCUGACUUCCCAGGCCCGUUCACCAGCCCUGACUGGAGAGAAAGCAGCUAUCUGGGCACAUUCUCUUUACCAAAGAGGUCAGAUGCUACUGAAGACAAACAGGAACACGUGACACCUUAUUAUGUCAAAGCUCAGAAUUUGCACCCUGUCAAUUAUAGCCACGCUCUCCUGGCCAGAAAAGUCCGUGGUCAUGCCUAAAAUAAAUCAACGGGGCAGAAAUAUGUGUUUGCCCCACAGAUGAUAGAAUGGGGAAUACAAGGUGACCAACAAUCCAAGUUACCAUGUCCAGUCAUUUGAAAACUAGAUAAAAGCAGUUUCUGAGUCACUGUCUCCUUUGUUGAUUCUCUAUCUUCAGUGAUGCUAAUCUCACAGCUGGAAUCCCUUUCACCUCUCCUUCCCCUGGUAAGUCCUUGUUUCUCUUCUUCUAGAACCCAAAGUCACCUGGUAAGCCCCUGGUUCUCCCCUGCGAGAUCAUGCUCAAACGUCACCUGCUAAAAUUCCUGGUCCUCCUCUGUGAGAUCAUGUCACCUGCUAAGUUCCUGGUCCUCCUCUACAAGAUCACGCUCACACAUCACCCCACUUCACAAGCCUUUCCUAAACCCACCGUGUCAACUGCAUGUGGAUGCCAACACCGUGACUUGCCAUUAAGGAGACGCACCCAGAUGCACAGUUUAAGUAUUUUAGGGCACAUGAUACAACUACCAGGAUUAAUUCUCUAUUCCUGGAAUUUAACCGUGAUCACGUGAUUUGUGUCGCCCGAAGAAAUGUGUGCAAAGUGAGUGCCUCUUUCUGGCAGACACCUUUCAGAGCCAGUGGACCACCCCAUCUUCCCAUGCAGCAGUGGUGGGGCUUCCCUGGACUCAAGGUCCCCAGACAAGGACGACAGGGAGCAGGGAACCCCGGGGACCUGUGGCACAUGGGAUGCAUGACUAGAAAACAUGACUGCUAUCUCACGACAUUAAGACACGGGAUCGUCACCGCAGCAUAACCUCGGCUAUCCUGCAUGACAGUCAUUAUCAGAGUCAUAUUCCUAUCAGAAGUUCCCGAGACAUCACGACAUAACGUUAUUUCCAUGGGGGCACUGUGGACUACUAUAACACUGGUGCUCAUACAGCACUGUGAGCAUACAAAAUAGUUUGAAAUGCAGCAGUGAGCAAAGGUUUGAGGAAAAAUAUUUCAAUUUUUAAAAUUAUCACAUUUAAUAAUCACUAACAUACAAAUAUGGUCACAAAAAAUUAACACCCCCAAAUUAAAUUUUAAGCGACUUGUUAGAAACAUCACAUGAACAUUUUGGUAAAAUGUUUUUAGAUAACUAAUUUUAAAUAGAUGUGUUUUUAUGUCAGCUGAGUUUAGGUGAAAGGAUUUAUUAUCUCCAUUUCUUGUUACUUACUGUCCCUAUACUCCGUGUAAGAAGCAGAUAUCCCGUUUUAUAAUGAGCUAACUGACUUCACCUCAGCAAUUCAUUUAUGGCAAGACAGUAAAUGAAUCCAGGGUGAUAUCUAUUUGGAAAUGUUUUGGAGCUGGUAAUCCCUGGAUUCACUAUAAAAUAUACUGAUUAUUCCAAAUAAUACAAAGUGCAGGCUAAUAAACAGUUAAACAUA